GACGAACGCUGGCGGCGUGCUUAACACAUGCAAGUCGAACGCGCCUGUCCUCUGGGUUUCUGGUGGGUGGGUGAGUGGCGAACGGGUGAGUAACACGUGAGUAACCUGCCCCCUUCUUCGGGAUACCGGUCUGAAAGGGCUGCUAAUACCGGGUAUUCACUGGUCUCCGCAUGGGGUCUGGUGGAAAGGUUUUUUUCUGGUGGGGGAUGGGCUCGCGGCCUAUCAGCUUGUUGGUGGGGUGAUGGCCCACCAAGGCUUUGACGGGUAGCCGGCCUGAGAGGGUGACCGGGCACAUUGGGACUGAGAUUCGGCCCAGACUCCUACGGGAGGCAGCAGUGGGGAAUAUUGCACAAUGGGCGCAAGCCUGAUGCAGCGACGCCGCGUGAGGGAUGGAGGCCUUCGGGUUGUGAACCCCUUUCGCCCGUGGUCAAGCCGCGACGUGGGUCGUGGUGAGGGUAGUGGGUAAAGAAGCGCCGGCUAACUACGUG
rnacentral:rRNA from 1 species